rnacentral:tRNA from 1 species
GCCAGCAUGCCGUAGUGGUUUGAGUGCUGGACUAGGACUCUGGUGACCAGGGUUUGAUUCCCAGCUCAGCCA